rnacentral:rRNA from 1 species
UAUUUGAUCAUGGCUCAGUGACGANACGCUGGCGUGCGUGCCUAAUACAUGCAAGUCGAGCGGUCCCUUCGGGGAUAGCGGCGGACGGGUGAGUAACACGUAGGCAACCUGCCUGUAAGACUGGGAUAACUAUCGGAAACGAUAGCUAAGACCGGAUAGCUGGUUCUCUCGCAUGAGAGGAUCAUGAAACACGGGGUAACCUGUGGCUUACAGAUGGGCCUGCGGCGCAUUAGCUAGUUGGUAGGGUAACGGCCUACCAAGGCGACGAUGCGUAGCCGACCUGAGAGGGUGAUCGGCCACACUGGGACUGAGACACGGCCCAGACUCCUACGGGAGGCAGCAGUAGGGAAUCUUCCGCAAUGGACGCAAAUCUGACGGAGCAACGCCGCGUGAGUGAUGAAGGUUAUNACGGAUCGUAAAGCUCUGUUGCCAGGGAAGAACGCCCAAGAGAGUAACUGCUCUUGAAGGUGACGGUACCUGAG